GCCCCUUCUUCAUCACCUACUCCUGCUCCAGUGCCACAUCCUCACAACCAUCAUCACCACCAUCACCAUCAUCACCACCAUCAUCACAAUGCCCAUAUUGCUCCCACAAUUGCAGCAGCACCUGUGCCUGCAUCUUGGAAAAGUUCUCCUGCACCUGAGAAAAGUUCACCUGCACCUGAGAAAAGUUCACCUGCACCUAAGAAAAGUUCACCUGCACCCAAAAGUUCUCCUGCACCUGAAAGAAGUUCUCCUGCACCUGAAGGAAGUUCUCCUGCACCUGAGAGAAGUUAUGAAGCAAGGCCUCCUGGUUGCCAAAAUGGGCAUAAAAGAAAGUUCACGAGCAAGACCAAAAAGCCAGCUCAAUCAGUCCCUACUGUUGCACCAAGGAUUUCUCCGCACUAUUCUGCGGCCUCACCUCAUCCACAGGUGGGCCCACCUGGGACUGUCACCCAUGCAGUUCCUGCACUAAGUCCUUUGCCAAGCAUAGUUCUAGCUCAUGCUCAGCCCCCAUCAAAAAGUGAAUUUGAUGCAAAGCCUCCAGACAUAAUGCCAUCAUUUCCACCGUCACCAUCCUCAUGUAAGUUUAAAUUUAAAAGAAUGAUUUUAGUUCAGCGCUUUUUCACAUUCACAAGUGCACAUAUAUUAGCUUCUUAUCAAAUCUCACUUGCUUAAGACUUAAUUUUUUCUCAGUAGCCUUUCUUGUGCAUCCAAAAUUGGUAAGGUUUACUAUUAAAUAAGAUGUUUCUCUCAUGCCCAUCAUGCUUAUCAAAUAUUAAACUGAUUGGAGGUUAAGAGUUUAGAAAAAUCAUAUAGGGCUCUAAUAAGAGAUUAAUUUUUAGGGAAAAAUAUGAAUCUAUGGAUUGUAUGGCCACUGAUCUUGUGUUUCAUGCUUUCAAAGAUGAAGUUGAUUGGGGAUUACGUGUCUUCUAAGAAUUUUAUCAUGAUGUUUUUAGAAAGAUGAGACUUUAUUGAUUGGGUGGAUAACUGACAUUUGACUGACUUGGUUUUUAGCAAUUAUGAUGGCAAUGAGGAAAUCUUAUCUAAUGGUAGGCUUUACAAAAUGUGGAUUCAUAUAAACUUAAUAAGCAGUAUAAAGAUCAGAUAGGAAGUUCUAUCCCAGGUGAAAUUGCAAUGUUGGAGAUUAUUUAGAUCUGGGCAAUUUUAUCUUCUGAAAUUGUUGUUCGAGUAUUCCUUUUGUGUAGGGUAUUCAUGGAGUUGUUCAUGUGGCUAUUGUUCAUGUGUUCUUUAAUAAUCUGCUUCUUUCUUACAAGCUCUCUUAUUGCCUGUUGGUUGUUGAAGCAUUAUAUUUGUUUGUUUGAUUGUAUUUGUAGAUAGAUGCUUAAUAAAUGUAGCACUAGUUUCUUUCUUUUGCUUAUCAUGGUCUAGUUAGUGACUUAAACCCUUAAAAUCAAUGCAAUGUUUUGUUUAGAAGUUGUCUUUUGGAUGCCAAUAUGCUGUUUCUUGCAGAUGCUGCAGGUCUUGUUCCUACUGUUCAAUGGGUAUUUCCACUAUUUCUAGCUUUUGUAUUACAUUUGUAACGGCAGAGAAGGAGAAGCGUUAUGCUUCCUAGUUAAAAUAUCUUCUCCAAUAUUCGAUGAAGGACUCGCUUUGUAUCAUUCAAUUCAAAUGAGCGAGAAAAUUGGAGGAGCUUUGCAAGUGGGAGCAACGCAAAAGGGCGUGCCUCACAUCCGAGUGGAUAUAAGGUGUUUUUGUGCAUGUAAAUAUUUCAUCAAAAAAAAAAAUCAGUUGGCUGAUGUGUUUUCAGGUCAAAGUCACAGAGGUGGCAGGCCCUUGAUGACAUGCAUUGCCGCUGUUUUGUGUAUGAUUUUUCUUCUGCAGAAAUGUAAGGGGGAUAAAACUCAACAAAUAUAUGACACUGCCUUUUUGUUUCUCUUUGCCUCCAAGUCCAUCAGGUAUGGUUUCUAACCAUGAAACCUCCGAACUCUGUUUCCUUCACUAAUCUGUUGAACAUUGUGAAACUUUGUGUUGCCGAUAAAUAAGGGAUCUUCAGUGUUCAAAAUGGGGUUGAUAAAACCAAAUUGUUAUAAUUUGUGAGAGAAUGAAUGAUUGGAGGCAGCUUGCAUGAAGCUUCAUUCCAGAGCAUUGUUCUUGAAUACCUUAUUAGAAAAGACUGAUGUCCAGGGGUGGAUGAUUAACGUGCUCCAUUUAGUAGAAGUGUCAUAACCUGCUAACAUCAAGUUUACAAACACUUAUAACCUAGUCUCCCUCCCUCGAAGGGGAAAAAAAAACCCUGAAACAGAAAAUGCUGAUAUGCCUGGAGGUUGCCCAAUGGCUGACUGUAGCAAAGGUUACCUCCAUCCUCGACCUCAGGACCCAACACAAGAUUUAGGACAAAGGGAGCUUAACUAAUGGCACCUGACAAAGAGCAAACAGCUUGAAUGAAAGGGUUCGUUUUGACCAUGAAAGAGUAGAUAAGCCGCGGUACCCUGUCUUUGUUUCUAUUGCAAUGCUAGGAGAAAAUCAAUAGCAGCACCAGAUCAAUUGACUAAGUGCUGAGAAGUAUUGGAAGGUCAUGUUGGGUGGGCUAGCUUACAUCUGCAUCUGGUAUAUAAAAUUGCCCAUAUAAUAUGGCGAUAGUUUUGGUUGGUUGCACCAUCCUUGACCUUGACAACUACAAGCAUGGUAAAAUGAAAUGGAUCCAAAAUAGGGCACCAUGUCUUGCGCAACACAUUUCCUUAACGUAAUUUCAGGAAGUCUGGUCUCCUUGACUUUCAUGGGUAGUGCUUGAAUAUUUAAGCAUCCUCGUACUAAUGGACCAUGCACUUACAAUAUUGUGAAUAUUUUGUAGAAUUUCUCAAGAUGGUUUGAUGAUGGCGUGUAAAGUGUGAAAAGUUGAUUAGGUAAUUCUACUGUAUCAAUUGACUAUUUUGCCUUUUUAAGUAUACAAAUGAGUGCAAGUUUAAAAUUGGUAAAGAGAGUUGAGAAAAGUAGUUCAUGGAUAUCAAAGACAGAAAAUGAUGAGCAGGUAUGAAUUAAGCCAUGGUGGCUUAAAUGCGUUUAAACCUUUAUGCUGUGUUUGGAUCAGGAAAAUGGCAAGGAAAGAGAACAAAUGUCUGG
rnacentral:lncRNA from 1 species